CGAGGGGUAGCAGGAGUGCUUGGACUCGCUGACGACCGGCGCACGGGUGCGUAACGCGUAUAGAACCUACCUUUUACAGAGGGAUAGCCUUUAGAAAUGAAGAUUAAUACCUCAUAGUAUUGAGAGUUGGCAUCGACUUUUAAUUAGAGAUUUAUCGGUAAAAGAUGGCUAUGCGUCCUAUUAGCUAGAUGGUAAGGUAACGGCUUACCAUGGCUAUGAUAGGUAGGGGUCCUGAGAGGGAGAUCCCCCACACUGGUACUGAGACACGGACCAGACUCCUACGGGAGGCAGCAGUGAGGAAUAUUGGACAAUGGGUGAGAGCCUGAUCCAGCCAUGCCGCGUGCAGGAAGACUGCCCUAUGGGUUGUAAACUGCUUUUAUACAGGAAGAAACACUCGGACGUGUCCGAGCUUGACGGUACUGUAAGAAUAAGCACCGGCUAACUCCGUGCCAGCAGCCGCGGUAAUACGGAGGGUGCAAGCGUUAUCCGGAAUCAUUGGGUUUAAAGGGUCCGCAGGCGGUCAAUUAAGUCAGAGGUGAAAUCCCAUAGCUUAACUAUGGAACUGCCUUUGAUACUGGUUGACUUGAGUUAUACGGAAGUAGAUAGAAUGUGUAGUGUAGCGGUGAAAUGCAUAGAUAUU
rnacentral:rRNA from 1 species